CUAUGUGGACUGGACUACUCCAGUUUUUGAUUUGCCAACACAUGACGAGAAACAGACCAAGAAAAACAGCACAGCUAAAGAGAAAGCUAAAACAAACACAUGAGUUUGAUCAUGCGGAGCAAGGAGAUGCAUUAUUUGAUGCCGACCUUGCAAGAUAUGGUGCAUAUGAGGAAGAAAAAUGAAAGUCUUCAAAAGAAAAUGCUUAUAAUUGCAAUAAGAGUUGCACAGAUUGCCUGUCUCUAUGGCACUUAUCUCUGCUUCGAUGAGUUACGACAAGGAUGAAUAAAAAUUGUUGAGGCUUGCUCAAAAAAUCGAGUGGAUUGAUUCGAUUUUCUCAAUUUUGCCAUUGAAGCUAAACCCAUAUACAUCAUUUGAGCUUGAAUUCUGCAGCCCCCAACAUUUAUUGGGCCGGGCCUGUUUGUUGCUAUAUUUUUCUCCUAAAUUUUAAUUGGGCCUUCGGUAGCAAAUAAUAUGUAAUAGGUAGGUCGUCGGACCAUUUGUUAGAAGUGGCCAUAAAAUAAUCAAUCAGAGUAGAGGGAUUUAUUAUAUUUUUAGCUCUUUGUUUUUAUUACUAUUGAGUUAAAGUCAUUCUAUUCAAUUAAA